rnacentral:rRNA from 1 species
GGAUGAGAUAGAGCGACGCCGCGUGGAGGAUAAGGUCUUCGGAUUGUAAACUCCUGUCAUGCGAGAACAAGGUACCCGGGUUAAUAACCCGGUUGUUUGAUGGUACCGCAAGAGGAAGAGACGGCUAACUCUGUGCCAGCAGCCGCGGUAAUACAGAGGUCUCAAGCGUUGUUCGGAAUCACUGGGCGUAAAGGGUGCGUAGGCUGCGCCGUAAGUCAGAUGUGAAAGCUCAGGGCUCAACCCUGAAAUU